GUAUCCGUGUAGUAAUGUCGUUGGUUGAAAGAAGGUGAAUUGGUGAUGGAGAAGUUGAGGCUGUAAGUCUUUCGUACUGACGGCAAACUUUUCAGUGUAGGAGGAUUUGUUUCAUGGUGGAACUGCUCUAAUGCUCUUAGAAAAUUCCAUGUGCUGUCAUUUUCUGUUAAAAACAGAAGAUUUCAGUCAGUUCCAGUUGUAUGUUCAUAAGACUAUGGAAUUGAACAAAAAUUUUUCAUCCAGACUUGCAAUAUUGCUACUGAGAUGUUGAACACAAUUUUCUGGUGGAUGACAAUAUAAUUUCUUUUAAAAUUGAUUUGUCACCACGUGGGGAACUGAAAACUGACAGGUAUUUUGAGACACUAUUCAUGUGGAAGGUGAUCACACCGAUGCCACAAAUACCAUCAAUACUGCAUGAUUUAGGCAAACAGGUUGUGUAGGCUGAAACAAGGAAGGGAAAAGUAGCUGUGUAUACUGAGGAAAAUGUAAAAGGUGGAUGAGAAAAUUUGAAAUUUUCAGAAGUGAAAACUCAAUGACAUCGUCACUAUGAUCCAAUCAUUAUCAAUUUGGGGCAUGCAGAAAAAAUGAGCUCAUUAUACGUGUAAUAAUUUAUUUGAAUGUGUUUUGAAGAAAUGGGGGUAGACAAUUGGGAACUAAAUGCAGUGGAAUAGGCUUGUCCAUUGAUAUAAAAAUGUUUCACACUGUUCAUUUCUGGACUGGGUGUGCGUAUGGACAGCAUAAUGAGGGACUGAACAUGGGAAUUUCUACACAAGGUAAUUUGGAUGGCUUACAACCUCCGUCCCGCUGUGGGAUUAUGAAACCAUUACCAAUAGUAAUCAACAAUUUCACUGAUCAAUUACUGGGGGUGCACUGCCUGCUUGUGGGCUCAGUAUGUGAAACAAGUGCAUGUCACAGAGGCAUAAUUGUUUUACGUGUGCGCGUCUUGUAUUGUGGCACAGUUUAUGAGAACACACGGUUUCAUAUUGUCUGUUGUUUCUUCAGCUUCAUUGUGUAAUCACUGUUGUUUAUAUUUUAAUCUUUUGUAUGGUCCUGGAUUUUCUUUACUGAAUAAAACAUAUGUAAGAAGGUAAGUCAGUUACUGGAAAUAAAAAUAUUGUUGCAACUUC